AACUCUUAGUGGUGGGUCACUCGGCUCAUGCGUCAAUGAAUAAUGCAGCUAGCUGCGAGAAUUAAUGUGAAUUGAAGGACACAUUGAUCAUCGACACUUCAAAUGCACUUGCGGCCCUGGGUUCCUCCUGGGGCUAUGCCUGUCUGAGCGUCA
rnacentral:rRNA from 1 species